UAUCUUGGACUCGUCACAAGACAGGGCUAUCUAAGGAGUGAGCAAGCUGGGUUUCGAAGAUUAAAAUACAGAGACUAGUAAUCAUCAUGGACUAUCCUACAGUACUCCUGCUGGUGUUUCUGGUGUUCACCGUAAAUGACUGUAGUGGGGCAAUCUGGGGCUGUGAUAACUUCAUGGGAUAUUGCCGAAUUGCCUGCUUUGCUCGUGAGAAUUCAAUAGGUCCCAAGGACUGUGGAGACGGAUUGGUAUGCUGUGUCCCAAACACAUUCAGAAGACUCUGGUGGAAGCAGUAGAGAAAACGUCUUAUAAUGAGAAAAGUUUUGUUUGUUUGUUGGACUCAA